UACGGGGGGGGGCAAGCGUUGUUCGGAAUUACUGGGCGUAAAGGGCUCGUAGGCGGCCAACUAAGUCAGACGUGAAAUCCCUCGGCUUAACCGGGGAACUGCAUCUGAUACUGGAUGGCUUGAGUUCGGGAGAGGGAUGCGGAAUUCCAGGGUGUAGCGGUGAAAUGCGUAGAUAUCUGGAGGAACACCGGUGGCGAAGGCGGCGAUCCC
rnacentral:rRNA from 1 species